UACGGGGGGGGCAAGCGUUGUUCGGAAUUACUGGGCGUAAAGGGCUCGUAGGCGGCCAACUAAGUCAGACGUGAAAUCCCCAGGCUCAACCUGGGAACUGCGUCUGAUACUGGAUGGCUUGAAUCCGGGAGAGGGAUGCAGAAUUCCAGGUGUAGCGGUGAAAUGCGUAGAUAUCUGGAGGAACACCAAUGGCGAAGGCAGCUCGCUGGGACGUGAUUGACGCUGAGACGCGAAAGCGUGGGGAGCAAACAGG
rnacentral:rRNA from 1 species